rnacentral:lncRNA from 1 species
GAGCGGGGGGCGGCAAAACUCUAAGAGCAUGUGUGACAUGGUCCUAUCCCAACACACAGGAGCGCACACGUGCACAGGUGUGACCUCUGCACACAGGCAGAUGUGCACACACAUCCAGAAGGCUUUAGCACAGAAACUGUGGCCUCUGAGGCUUGGCUGUCCAUCAGCCUGCAAAGCAGAAGCCGAGGUUUGCAGCCUGGUGUGGAGAAUGGAGAGGGCCCCGCCUUGUUAAUGGCAGAAGCCUUUACUCCCUAAGCAGCUUUCGAGAGCUCCAUUGCUCUUUAAUUAUCUGGAAAUAGAGAGUGCAGCCCGCACCCCACUAGUGUUACAGUGGAGGAAGUCAGGGCAUCCCUUAAUUACCUGAUCCAUAUGAAGAUUGUCACACAUCAUUCUUCCAGAGCCAAUGGUUCUCUCUCUCUCCCUCCCUCUCCCUCCCUCUCUCUCUCUCUCUCUCCCCAAGACCUGCACCAUCUCUCAAUAAUGAUGCAAGAUGAGGGGAAGAGAAUCCCAGAGCCAGGUUCUGCCAGGGUGGGGGACUGCUGAGGGCUCCAACCGGGAUCCCUGGGCAGUGCCCCGCUGGGCUGGGGCUCCCAUGCAGCAGAAAGGGAGCCGAUGGCUGAGAAAUAAAAUGGAAUGCGCAUCUCCUGCCUGCCACCGUCCUUCACACCACAUCUCCCGGAAUAAAAAACAGUCCUCUCCUGGCAUCUGUACCCCCCCAACAGUUUAGGACCAUUAUAUUAAAUAAUGGUAAUCACAAGUGUCUCUCUGUUCCGUCCGCCACGGCAGCCUGUUCACUUUAAAGCUCUCAAGCCCGAGGUCAGGGCCCCUCUGCUUGCUUAGAUAAAUCUUGCUCGGCACAGAUGCUCACAAAUCCCGCACAGGUCCUUUGUUGUGUGUUCUUUGUUUGAAAUACGGCAUGCCCUUCUGAGGAUGCGCCUGCCUCGGUGCCAGCUGUCCACCUCUGCAUAUUAAAUUGUGGCCACAGCUCCCAUGGCAGCUGAGGGGAGGGAGAAGAGUAGGGAAGGGAAGGAGAGGACAGAAAAGGGAAGGGAAGAAGCUGGCGGCAGAACCCCAUCCACCUGUGUCCCCACCCUCAGUUCAGCCAACCUAGGCAUCCCCAAGGCUGAGGAACCUCUCUUUUGUUCUUAGUCCCCUGCUCAGUCUCAGCCUCACGAAUCAUUUGCAUCAUUUAUUCUUUAAUAACUCAAUGAAAUCAAAAGAUACAGUCAUGUCCCUGCAGCAAGGAAGAAUGGGUAAAUGGGAAUGGUGGGAGGUUCUAGAAGGGCAGAAUGGGUAAAUGGGAAUGGUGGAAGGUUCUGGAAGGGCGUUGCAUUAAGGAAGCCCAAGAGCAGGGAGUGAACAGUAGAGAUUCCCUCUGCUCCAUAUGCCUGGCCUUGCUCGGGGCACAUACUGCUGCCAUCAGCCCCCAGGGACAGUGGUUCUGCCCCCUGCUUCAGCUUUGUCUCCUUUUCUAGUGGCUUCAAUAGUGUGUCCCCAGAUGCAUCCCAAUUUGGACUAAGA